GCACCAUCCGUUGCCUUGUUAGGGUUAGGGUUUCGUCGUCGUUUCAACCCUUGGCUUUUGUUGGUUUUGGGGGUUUAGUAUUGGGGUUGCUCGAGUUCUCCGAGGCCUUUGAGGUCCUCUAUCUCUUCUCGUCCUGUGUCGCCUCCUUUGCUUUCAAUCGGUAGGACCUCGCUGGCCUGAUCGAUUGCGUCAUUGGAGAUCCACCGCGCCUUUAGGUAGUCACUAUCCUUUGGUCCGGCUGCUGGCAGCGGUGGAUAAUCUUUGUGAUAAAUAAUCAUGUAACGCUUCCUAUGAGUUUUAGGAUCUCCCAUCAAAAAUCUGCUCGCUAUCUCACUGGCAUCUGAAAUGGGAGCUCUUAUUUUUUCGGAGGACACAAUGCCGAGAGCUAGCUUGAUGAAUGUCUGUAACUUUCUUUUCCACGGGGAUUGAAUCCUGUAAUUCUGUAUAGCUCAGAUUGACAGUAGAAAUUGUACGUGACAGUUUAUGUUGGAUUAUUUAUCUUGAACACUAAGUAUAUAUUGAUG